GCGUCCGGGGGCAGUGAACUCCACCCGCCACCCCACCCCACCUGCGUGUUUGUCCCCGUGAUCUUGCAGGUGCCUUCUAAGCACUUGGUCGCAGGUUCGAUCCCUGCCGGGCGCG
rnacentral:tRNA from 1 species